rnacentral:rRNA from 1 species
AGUGAACGCUGGCGGUAGGCCUAACACAUGCAAGUCGAACGGCAGCACAGUAAGAGCUUGCUCUUACGGGUGGCGAGUGGCGGACGGGUGAGGAAUACAUCGGAAUCUACUUUUUCGUGGGGGAUAACGUAGGGACACUUACGCUAAUACCGCAUACGACCUACGGGUGAAAGCAGGGGAUCUUCGGACCUUGCGCGAUUGAAUGCGCCGAUGUCGGAUUAGCUAGUUGGCGGGGUAAAGGCCCACCAAGGCGACGAUCCGUAGCUGGUCUGAGAGGAUGAUCAGCCACACUGGAACUGAGACACGGUCCAGACUCCUACGGGAGGCAGCAGUGGGGAAUAUUGGACAAUGGGCGCAAGCCUGAUCCAGCCAUACCGCGUGAGUGAAGAAGGCCUUCGGGUUGUAAAGCCCUUUUGUUGGGAAAGAAAAGCAGCAGGUUAAUACCCCGCUGUUCUGACGGUACCCAAAGAAUAAGCACCGGCUAACUUCGUG